CACACUACGGAAGCGGAUAAAAUACAACGCUUGAAGUCCCGGAAACAUCAGUGUUGACCGUUCUUUCACUGGCUCAGUAAUGCCACUGUGUUGGUGACGAUAACAGGAGUCCAGCGCAAGCAGUCUGGAUCAACUUCAAGUAGACGAGGUUUGGCCUUUAGUCGGGCCAUCAUGUUGAGAUUAAGCAGGGUGGCUGUGAUAUCUUGAGGACAAAUUCCAGUGAAUUUGCUGAGUCUGCGGAUGGUAAGCUGUCUGUCUCUGAUCUCAUGCAGGCACUCCAGCACUACACUACGCCAGUAUGCCAUGUAGGAC